rnacentral:rRNA from 1 species
GUAAGUCGAACGGAGUUGUGUUGAAAGCUUGCUGGAUAUACAACUUACCGGCGGACGGGUGAGUAACACGUGAGUAACCUGCCUCUCAGAGUGGAAUAACGUUUGGAAACGAACGCUAAUACCGCAUAACGUGAGAAGAGGGCAUCCUCUUUUUACCAAAGAUUUAUCGCUGAGAGAUGGGCUCGCGGCCGAUUAGGUAGUUGGUGAGAUAACAGCCCACCAAGCCGACGAUCGGUAGCCGGACUGAGAGGUUGAUCGGCCACAUUGGGACUGAGACACGGCCCAGACUCCUACGGGAGGCAGCAGUGGGGGAUAUUGCACAAUGGGGGAAACCCUGAUGCAGCGACGCCGCGUGAGGGAAGACGGUUUUCGGAUUGUAAACCUCUGUCUUUAGGGACGAAAAAAUGACGGUACCUAAGGAGGAAGCCACGGCUAACUACGUGCCAGCAGCCGCGGUAAUACGUAGGUGGCAAGCGUUGUCCGGAAUUACUGGGUGUAAAGGGAGCGUAGGCGGGGAGACAAGUUGAAAGUCUAAACUAUCGGCUUAACUGAUAGUCGCGUUCAAAACUAUCACUCUUGAGUGCAGUAGAGGUAGGCGGAAUUCCUAGUGUAGCGGUGAAAUGCGUAGAUAUUAGGAGGAACACCAGUGGCGAAGGCGGCCUACUGGGCUGUAACUAACGCUGAGGCUCGAAAGCGUGGGUAGCAAACAGGAUUAGAUACCCUGGUAGUCCACGCCGUANACGAUGAUUACUAGGUGUGGGGGNACUGACCCCUUCCGUGCCGGAGUUAACACAAUAAGUAAUCCACCUGGGGAGUACGACCGCAAGGUUGAAACU